rnacentral:rRNA from 1 species
ACUCCUACGGGAGGCAGCAGUGGGGAAUAUUGGACAAUGGGGGCAACCCUGAUCCAGCCAUGCCGCGUGUGUGAAGAAGGCUUUCGGGUUGUAAAGCACUUUCAGUAGGGAGGAAAACCUUAUGGCUAAUACCCAUGAGGCUUGACGUUACCUACAGAAG